rnacentral:rRNA from 1 species
UACGGAGGAUCCAAGCGUUAUCCGGAUUUAUUGGGUUUAAAGGGUGCGUAGGCGGCUUUUUAAGUCAGGGGUGAAAGACGGUGGCUCAACCAUCGCAGUGCCUUUGAUACUGAAGAGCUUGAUUAAACUUGAGGUAGGCGGAAUGUGACAAGUAGCGGUGAAAUGCAUAGAUAUGUCACAGAACACCGAUUGCGAGGGCAGCUUACUAAGGUUUGGAUGACGCUGAGGCACGAAAGCGUGGGGAUCAAACAGG